CGAAAGCCUGACGGAGCAAGACCGCGUGAGGGAGGAAGGCUCUUGGGUUGUAAACCUCUUUUCUCAGGGAAGAAGAUCUGACGGUACCUGAGGAAUAAGCAUCGGCUAACUCCGUGCCAGCAGCCGCGGUAAUACGGAGGAGGCAAGCGUUAUCCGGAAUUAUUGGGCGUAAAGCGUCCGCAGGUGGCGAUUCAAGUCUGCUGUUAAAGCCCACAGCUCAACUGUGGAUCGGCAGUGGAAACUGAAUAACUUGAGAGCGGUAGGGGUAGAGGGAAUUCCCGGUGUAGCGGUGAAAUGCGUAGAUAUCGGGAAGAACACCAGUGGCGAAGGCGCUCUACUGGGCCGCGACUGACGCUGAGGGACGAAAGCUAGGGGAGCG
rnacentral:rRNA from 1 species